AAAGUCCUGGCCGAGGAGUCUCCUACUUUCCCAAACUCUCAAGAGGCAGUGGUUAAAUACAGGAGGGAAAUUGCUGUAGCACUUCUCAAUGAGACUGAUGAUCUCAGUGAGCUGUGCCACUACUGUGGAGAGGGAGAAGAAGCGCGAGGGGGGUCUCAAGACAGACCUGAUGCCACUGACUGGAUCCAGUGUGACACCUGUGGAAGGUGGUGCCACGAGGGUUGUGUUGGUAGACCUGACAGAGAUCAUAUGUACAGCUGUCCUGCAUGCCCCCAGGCUCAAAUGAGUCGAUGCCGUCCAAAACCGUCCAAAAAAAGAAAAUUUUGAUAACCAUGUCACAUGAUUAUCACGCCUUCCCGUGAGGAUGGACACUGUGUAUCAGCGACCCUCACAACCCUCAUCACCACCCCCCUUCCCGUCAGGAUGGACACUGGGGUUUCAGCGGCCCUCACAACCCCACCACCCCCUUCCUGUGAGGAUGGACACUGUGUUUCAGCGACCCUCACAACCCUCAUCACAACCCCCC
ensembl:lncRNA